GUGUUCACUUGGGCAGCACAUAUACUAAAACUAGAAUGAUACAGAGAAGAUUAGCAUCCCCUGUGUGAGGAUGACAUGCAAAUCUGUGAAGUGUUUCAUAUUUUC
ensembl:snRNA U6 U6 spliceosomal RNA